UACGGAGGGUGCAAGCAUUGAUCGGAAUGACUGGGCGUAAAGGGCGCGUAGGCGGCCGUAAAAGUCAGAUGUGAAAUUCCGGGGCUCAACCCCGGAGCUGCAUUUGAAACUCUAUGGCUAGAGGUUAGUAAGGGAAAACGGAAUUCCACGUGUAGCGGUGAAAUGCGUAGAUAUGUGGAAGAACACCAGUGGUGAAGACGGUUUUCUGUGCUAAAACUGACGCUGAGGCGCGAAAGCUAGGGGAGCAAACAGG
rnacentral:rRNA from 1 species